rnacentral:rRNA from 1 species
GUAUAAGAGACAGCAGUCGCCACGGUAAUACGUAGGGUGCAAGCGUUAAUCGGAAUUACUGGGCGUAAAGCGUGCGCAGGCGGUUAUAUAAGUCAGAAGUGAAAUCCCCGGGCUCAACCUGGGAACUGCAUUUGAGACUGUAUGGCUAGAGUGUGUCAGAGGGGGGUAGAACUCCACGUGUAGCAGUGAAAUGCGUAGAUAUGUGGAGGAAUACCGAUGGCGAAGGCAGCCCCCUGGGAUAACACUGACGCUCAUGCACGAAAGCGUGGGGAGCAAACAGGAUUAGAUACCCCUGUAGUCCCUGUCUCUUAUAC